AGAGUUUGAUCCUGGCUCAGGAUGAACGCUAGCGGCAGGCCUAACACAUGCAAGUCGAGGGGCAUCACGAGGUAGCAAUACUUUGGUGGCGACCGGCGCACGGGUGCGUAACGCGUAUGUAACCUACCUAUAACAGGGGCAUAACACUGAGAAAUUGGUACUAAUUCCCCAUAAUAUUCGGAGAGGCAUCUCUCCGGGUUGAAAACUCCGGUGGUUAUAGAUGGACAUGCGUUGUAUUAGCUAGUUGGUGAGGUAACGGCUCACCAAGGCAACGAUACAUAGGGGGACUGAGAGGUUAACCCCCCACACUGGUACUGAGACACGGACCAGACUCCUACGGGAGGCAGCAGUGAGGAAUAUUGGUCAAUGGGCGGAAGCCUGAACCAGCCAAGUCGCGUGAAGGAAGACUGCCCUACGGGUUGUAAACUUCUUUUGUAUGGGAGUAAAAGAGUCCACGUGUGGGCUAUUGCAAGUACCAUACGAAUAAGCAUCGGCUAACUCCGUGCCAGCAGCCGCGGUAAUACGGAGGAUGCGAGCGUUAUCCGGAUUUAUUGGGUUUAAAGGGUGCGUAGGUGGUUAAUUAAGUCAGCGGUGAAAGUUUGUGGCUCAACCAUAAAAUUGCCGUUGAAACUGGUUGACUUGAGUAUAUUUGAGGUAGGCGGAAUGCGUGGUGUAGCGGUGAAAUGCAUAGAUAUCACGCAGAACUCCGAUUGCGAAGGCAGCUUACUAAACUAUAACUGACACUGAAGCACGAAAGCGUGGGGAUCAAACAGGAUUAGAUACCCUGGUAGUCCACGCAGUAAACGAUGAUUACUAGCUGUUUGCGAUACACAGUAAGCGGCACAGCGAAAGCGUUAAGUAAUCCACCUGGGGAGUACGCCGGCAACGGUGAAACUCAAAGGAAUUGACGGGGGCCCGCACAAGCGGAGGAACAUGUGGUUUAA
rnacentral:rRNA from 1 species